ACGUUUUACGGCGCCGAUUUGUAACCGGAUUGCGGGCGCUCGAGAAAUACGGCUAAAGAGGUGAGGCGGCAUUCGGG
rnacentral:ncRNA from 2 species